UUAAAUUGAAGAGUUUGAUCAUGGCUCAGAUUGAACGCUGGCGGCAGGCCUAACACAUGCAAGUCGAACGGUAACAGGAAGCAGCUUGCUGCUUUGCUGACGAGUGGCGGACGGGUGAGUAAUGUCUGGGAAACUGCCUGAUGGAGGGGGAUAACUACUGGAAACGGUGGCUAAUACCGCAUAACGUCGCAAGACCAAAGAGGGGGACCUUCGGGCCUCUUGCCAUCAGAUGUGCCCAGAUGGGAUUAGCUGGUUGGUGAGGUAACGGCUCACCAAGGCGACGAUCCCUAGCUGGUCUGAGAGGAUGACCAGCCACACUGGAACUGAGACACGGUCCAGACUCCUACGGGAGGCAGCAGUGGGGAAUAUUGCACAAUGGGCGCAAGCCUGAUGCAGCCAUGCCGCGUGUAUGAAGAAGGCCUUCGGGUUGUAAAGUACUUUCAGCGGGGAGGAAGGUGUUGUGGUUAAUAACCGCAGCAAUUGACGUUACCCGCAGAAGAAGCACCGGCUAACUCCGUGCCAGCAGCCGCGGUAAUACGGAGGGUGCAAGCGUUAAUCGGAAUUACUGGGCGUAAAGCGCACGCAGGCGGUCUGUCAAGUCGGAUGUGAAAUCCCCGGGCUCAACCUGGGAACUGCAUUCGAAACUGGCAGGCUUGAGUCUUGUAGAGGGGGGUAGAAUUCCAGGUGUAGCGGUGAAAUGCGUAGAGAUCUGGAGGAAUACCGGUGGCGAAGGCGGCCCCCUGGACAAAGACUGACGCUCAGGUGCGAAAGCGUGGGGAGCAAACAGGAUUAGAUACCCUGGUAGUCCACGCCGUAAACGAUGUCUACUUGGAGGUUGUGCCCUUGAGGCGUGGCUUCCGGAGCUAACGCGUUAAGUAGACCGCCUGGGGAGUACGGCCGCAAGGUUAAAACUCAAAUGAAUUGACGGGGGCCCGCACAAGCGGUGGAGCAUGUGGUUUAAUUCGAUGCAACGCGAAGAACCUUACCUGGUCUUGACAUCCACAGAACUUUCCAGAGAUGGAUUGGUGCCUUCGGGAACUGUGAGACAGGUGCUGCAUGGCUGUCGUCAGCUCGUGUUGUGAAAUGUUGGGUUAAGUCCCGCAACGAGCGCAACCCUUAUCCUUUGUUGCCAGCGGUCCGGCCGGGAACUCAAAGGAGACUGCCAGUGAUAAACUGGAGGAAGGUGGGGAUGACGUCAAGUCAUCAUGGCCCUUACGACCAGGGCUACACACGUGCUACAAUGGCGCAUACAAAGAGAAGCGACCUCGCGAGAGCAAGCGGACCUCAUAAAGUGCGUCGUAGUCCGGAUUGGAGUCUGCAACUCGACUCCAUGAAGUCGGAAUCGCUAGUAAUCGUGGAUCAGAAUGCCACGGUGAAUACGUUCCCGGGCCUUGUACACACCGCCCGUCACACCAUGGGAGUGGGUUGCAAAAGAAGUAGGUAGCUUAACCUUCGGGAGGGCGCUUACCACUUUGUGAUUCAUGACUGGGGUGAAGUCGUAACAAGGUAACCGUAGGGGAACCUGCGGUUGGAUCACCUCCUUACCUUAAAGAA
rnacentral:rRNA from 2 species